GAUGAACGCUGGCGGCGUGCCUAAUACAUGCAAGUCGAGCGAACGGACGAGAAGCUUGCUUCUCUGAUGUUAGCGGCGGACGGGUGAGUAACACUUGGAUAACCUACCUAUAAGACUGGGAUAACUUCGGGAAACCGGAGCUAAUACCGGAUAAUAUUUUGAACCGCAUGGUUCAAAAGUGAAAGACGGUCUUGCUGUCACUUAUAGAUGGAUCCGCGCUGCAUUAGCUAGUUGGUAAGGUAACGGCUUACCAAGGCAACGAUGCAUAGCCGACCUGAGAGGGUGAUCGGCCACACUGGAACUGAGACACGGUCCAGACUCCUACGGGAGGCAGCAGUAGGGAAUCUUCCGCAAUGGGCGAAAGCCUGACGGAGCAACGCCGCGUGAGUGAUGAAGGUCUUCGGAUCGUAAAACUCUGUUAUUAGGGAAGAGCAUAUGUGUAAGUAACUGUGCACAUCUUGACGGUACCUAAUCAGAAAGCCACGGCUAACUACGUG
rnacentral:rRNA from 1 species